CUGAAACAGUCUAUGCUCUGAAAUCAUGGCAUCAAACCGUAAUUUGAAAAGACAUUUGAAUUGCGACGGGACUCAACCAGAGACGCCCAGAACAACAAAAUACAGAAGACUUCAUCAAAAAAAGAAACCACUGAAAUUAAUAUACAAGAGAUUUCUUUGUACAUCUCCAGUUCCCAACUCUUUGGACAGAGGAACAGUUUGUGAAAAGAUACAACUUACACAUGUUGAUGCAGAUAAUUGUAAAGUGCAAAGAAGCCUGCAAGACAGUAAAAAUCAGAAAGGAGACACAGAAGAAAGGAGGCAAGAUGUGAUAUCUGAAACAGUGAUAAGGUUUAAGAAGACAGAAC